rnacentral:rRNA from 1 species
ACAACCCUAGAGAUAGGGCUUUCCCUUCGGGGACAGAGUGACAGGUGGUGCAUGGUUGUCGUCAGCUCGUGUCGUGAGAUGUUGGGUUAAGUCCCGCAACGAGCGCAACCCUUGAUCUUAGUUGCCAGCAUUCAGUUGGGCACUAUAAGGUGACUGCCGGUGACAAACCGGAGGAAGGUGGGGAUGACGUCAAAUCAUCAUGCCCCUUAUGACCUGGGCUACACACGUGCUACAAUGGACAGAACAAAGGGCUGCGAGACCGCAAGGUUUAGCCAAUCCCACAAAUCUGUUCUCAGUUCGGAUCGCAGUCUGCAACUCGACUGCGUGAAGCUGGAAUCGCUAGUAAUCGCGGAUCAGCAUGCCGCGGUGAAUACGUUCCCGGGCCUUGUACACACCGCCCGUCACACCACGAGAGUUUGCAACACCCGAAGUCGGUGAGGUAACC